rnacentral:rRNA from 1 species
CCUACGGGGGGCUGCAGUGGGGAAUAUUGGACAAUGGGGGGAACCCUGAUCCAGCCAUGCCGCGUGUGUGAAGAAGGCCCUCGGGUUGUAAAGCACUUUCAGUGAGGAAGAACGCCUGGUGGUUAAUACCCAUCAGGAAAGACAUCACCCACAGAAGAAGCACCGGCUAACUCCGUGCCAGCAGCCGCGGUAAUACGGAGGGUGCGAGCGUUAAUCGGAAUUACUGGGCGUAAAGCGCGCGUAGGUGGCUUGAUAAGCCGGUUGUGAAAGCCCCGGGCUCAACCUGGGAACGGCAUCCGGAACUGUCGAGCUAGAGUGCAGGAGAGGAAGGUAGAAUUCCCGGUGUAGCGGUGAAAUGCGUAGAGAUCGGGAGGAAUACCAGUGGCGAAGGCGGCCUUCUGGACUGACACUGACGCUGAGGUGCGAAAGCGUGGGUAGCAAACAGGAUUAGAUACCCCUGUAGUC